rnacentral:lncRNA from 1 species
AAGUUCCUCUCCUUUUAGAUGUGCAUUCCCGAUCUUUUUAGUCUCUUGAAUAUUCGAUUUAGAGUUAAGAGGUGUCUAUGCCACUAACCAACUCCUUAAAGAAAUACAAGAGCUUCUCCGGCAAACCACUAGAAGUACCCAUCGAGUCGAGCAAUUGGAUGCUAAGAAAGGUUUCUUUCUGGGCUAAAUUCAAAGCCUAUAGACUGAAUUAGGAGAGCAGAGGUUUAAUCCAAAACCAGGAAAGCAAGCUAUAUC